GACAGAGGCCCCAAGCGUUAGGCGGAAUCACUGGGCUUAAAGCGUGUGUAGGCGGACGCCUAAGUGUCUUGUGAAAUCCCAACGGCUCACCCGUGGAACUGCUGGGCAUACUGGGCGUCUUGGGCCAACUAGGGGCAGCCGGAACAAGCGGUGGAGCGGUGAAAUGCGUAGAUAUCGCUUGGAACGCCGAAGGUGAAAACAGGCUGCUGGGGUUGUGCCGACGCUGAGACACGAAAGCCAGGGGAGCAAACAGG
rnacentral:rRNA from 1 species